UUUUUUUGAAAAGUUGUAGGUUUUGUUUAUUUAUUGUUUGGUAUGUUUCAGCUUCCUCGUGUUUUUGUACAGGAAGUCAGUGAAGAUGUAGCACCGUGACUACGGCUUUGAUUACUGGGGAGACGGAACUGAAGUUACUGUUAAACCAGGUGAUUCCCCUCAGACUCCGUCCCUCUUCGUCCUCAGUCCUCUGUCGACUCCUGACUUCCCCCUGAAGACAGCAGACGAGCUCGGUCCAAACGUCUGUCUGGUCACAGAUUUCCGUCCAAAGGGGGGAGAAGUGGUUCUGAAUGGAAAAGGGGGUCCUGUCAACGUGAGCACUGAUGAUGCCGUUCUGUCAAAGGACAACACCUACAACUUUGCUGCAUUCAGCAACGAAACCAUCUACUCCUGUGGGAUGAACGGGACCUUUGGCAACAAUGAAGCUGAUGAUGAAUGUGGCAGCAUUUAUCCAGAAAAAGCCAAGCUGAACUUCUAUCUGCUGCUGAUGAACGGAGUCCGAGUGGUGUUCACCAAAGCUCUGGCCUUCAGCACCGUCCUCACCAUCAGAGGCCUGCUCUUCUGAAACUGAGCCUUUCAGGCUACCAUAGUCUGUCAGAAGCCCACCAAUAUGUUGAAGUCAUGCAGCAGAAGACUCAUUUUGUUUGGCAUAACUGAGAAUCAAAUUACCGUAGAUACACAGAAACUAUACAAUAUUGUUUUUUUUUCUUCAAUUUACAAAUGUUUACUUUUACAAUUGAAAUGUGCUUAUUUUUAAACCUAUCAGAUGCAGCAGUGGUGCAGAGGUAAAGCUUGCAAUGCAUCUAUGUGACCCUCACAAAUUUGAGCCUUGCCAAAUGUCUUCCCUCUCUUUUCCUGUCCACUCACUGUUAAAUAAAGGCUUCCAGAACCAAAUAACCCUUUUAAAACAAUUUAUUCAAUUUACAUCCCACAAAAUCACACUUUCUGAAUCCAGAAAAGUGUAAUUGUUUUGAAGAUUGAGUUCUGAAAUAUGAAUGUAUUUUUGUAUUUUGGUCUUUCAUAUCAAAAUAAUUCGCUUUUUUGUCUGUCUUCAUCUUUAUUUUAUUCUGUAAACAUACCUACCUUCCUCAUUUAACUCUGUUCAAAGACUUUUUUCAGUCAUCAUGCAGACCCCACAUUUAGGUUAUUCAGGUUAUUUCCAGUAAUAAAUGAACUCGAUGAUGCAGAAACCCCAGUGAGAGAUCAGCCUCACAUCAGAGAUUUUAGCAGAGACGUUUCAUCAGUUAAACCCACGCAGCAUCAACAGGAAGCUGACAGAAACUAAACAUCAGCUCAGUUUCACAUGUACAGAAAAUACUGUGGUUAGUUUGAGCUCCGCUUGAGUUUUCUGGCCACACAGUGUACAUAAUCAUUUCACAUCUGUUGACUUUUGUCACAGCAGGCUUACACAGCAGCUCAUGUCUACUAAUCAGAUAUUGUGUAUUGUUCUCAUUAAAAAGAGCCACAUCCUUCA